UACGUAGGGUCCGAGCGUUGUCCGGAAUUAUUGGGCGUAAAGGGCUCGUAGGCGGUCCGUCACGUCGGGAGUGAAAACUCGGAGCUCAACUCCGAGCCUGCUUCCGAUACGGGCAGACUAGAGGUAGGCAGGGGAGAGCGGAACUCCUGGUGUAGCGGUGGAAUGCGCAGAUAUCAGGAAGAACACCGGUGGCGAAGGCGGGUCUCUGGGCAGUAACUGACGCUGAGGAGCGAAAGCGUGGGGAGCGAACAGG
rnacentral:rRNA from 1 species